CUCUCUAUCUCCUUUCCCUUCUCAUGAAAACCCUAGGCGCCGCCUAGGGUUCCUCUUCUCUCUACAUGCCAAAAACGGCAAGCAUUCAGAACUCGCAUACUUUCAUCAGUUUUUGUACAACUAUUCUCAUACAACAAUUAAUAUUUACCUUCACUUCACUCUAAACACGGUACUAGUCCUUUCCCCUUUUGUUUUUCUUUUAAUUUUCAAGUCAAACAAUUCAAUUUUCUGUGUUUUGCUGAUUAUACGAAUGUGUUUUCAUUGGUUCCUAAGAGGUUGGGUCGGAUCGACCUAUAGUGGGCCAGAUCUAACCGUAUAUGCUUGUUAUCUUUAAAUCCUAAGCGUUGAUUUCGUGUAUUGAGUGUUUAUUUCUGAGAAUUCCAUCUUGUACCACAUCGUUGGUUUUAAGUUUUUUCAUAGCUUUGGGGUUCUAUAAAUAGAACCCCAACCUUCACAAUUGGAACAAGUCUUGAACACUCAAGCAUAGGCAAAAACUUAAAAUCUGAGUUUCCACUUGAGUUUUAGGUUGCCUUAGUCAAAAUUUUAUACUUAGCUGUUUAACGGUUAGGUUUUCUAGUUCAAAAAUUUUAAUUUUCUUUCUUGCGUUUGGCUGAGUUCGAGGAUUGGAAGCACUAGGGCUCCAAAUUCGAUCUUGUUCACUACUGCACAUAAAAAGGGUACACGAUGGGAUGAAUGUGUAGAGGAGCCUCUUGAACUUGAAGAUAGUGAGCGAAAGUAAGAAAUUAAGGAGUACACGGUGUUUGAUAUAAGUUCUCUUAAGGACGAAUUUGAGGUUCUAGACGACGAGCAAUUGCAAGUAGCUGAAAUAUCACUCUUAAAUCCAAUAUUUCUCUAACUAAAAUGGUUCCUAAUUAUAUGGUAUUAACUUGUGAAGAGGUUGGAAAUUUGGACAUAACUCUCAAAGUUGAUAUGGAUGAUUAUAUAACCUCUGACACUUGACGCCAUUACUCUAUGUGUUCCUUCAUUCAGCGAUGAUGUUGACUUUGUCGGCAUCUGUGAGCAAGAAAAGAUUUACCAUCUUUUUAUACAUGUUGUUACCAAAGAACUUAAUAUUUAUGUUACAUAGUAUCAAUCUCCUUUCUUCGAUCUUGCUGAAUCCAAUUUGAUUAGAGGUUCAAGGGAGGAAUCGGUCGGAAAUGAGGAUGAGAACUACAACACUGAAGAUAGUUCCAAACUUGAUCAACAAGUGAUGGUUUACACUCUAUUGGACUGUAUUUACAUUGAUGACAUUAUUGAGCUUCAUAUAUUAUGUUUUAUUUCUUCUUUGUUGGAGGACAUGGUCAAAAAAAGGAAGUUUCUAGACGCCAAAUUUUGCAAUGUGAA